GACGAACGCUGGCGGCGUGCCUAACACAUGCAAGUCGAACGGAACUGUUUUGAAAGCUUUCUUCGGAAUGAAUUUGAUUUAGUUUAGUGGCGGACGGGUGAGUAACGCGUGAGUAACCUGCCUUCAAGAGGGGAAUAACAUUCUGAAAAGAAUGCUAAUACCGCAUGACAUAUCGGAACCACAUGGUUUUGAUAUCAAAGAUUUUAUCGCUUGAAGAUGGACUCGCGUCCGAUUAGUUAGUUGGGGAGGUAACGGCUCACCAAGACCGCGAUCGGUAGCCGGACUGAGAGGUUGAACGGCCACAUUGGGACUGAGACACGGCCCAGACUCCUACGGGAGGAAGCAGGGGGGGAUAUUGCGCAAUGGGGGCAACACUGACGAAGCAACGGCGCGUGAAGGAUGAAGGUUUUCGGAUUGUAAACUUCUUUUAUUAAGGACGAAAAAUGACGGUACUUAAUGAAUAAGCUCCGGCUAACUACGUG
rnacentral:rRNA from 1 species